GAUGAACGCUGGCGGCGUGCCUAAUACAUGCAAGUCGAGCGAAUGGAUUAAGAGCUUGCUCUUAUGGAGUUAGCGGCGGACGGGUGAGUAACACGUGGGUAACCUGCCCAUAAGACUGGGAUAACUCCGGGAAACCGGGGCUAAUACCGGAUAACAUUUUGAACCGCAUGGUUCGAAAUUGAAAGGCGGCUUCGGCUGUCACUUAUGGAUGGACCCGCGUCGCAUUAGCUAGGUGGUGAGGUAACGGCUCACCAAGGCAACGAGGCGAAGCCGACGUGAGCGGGGGAACGGGCCCACUGGGACCGAGGCACGGCCCAGGCUCCUACGGGAGGCAGCAGUAGGGAAUCUUCCGCAAUGGACGAAAGUCUGACGGAGCAACGCCGCGUGAGUGAUGAAGGCUUUCGGGUCGUAAAACUCUGUUGUUAGGGAAGAACAAGUGCUAGUUGAAUAAGCUGGCACCUUGACGGUACCUAACCAGAAAGCCACGGCUACCUACGUGCCAGCCGCCGCGGUAA
rnacentral:rRNA from 1 species